GGUCUUCUUAUAAUGGUGAAUUGUAUGGCACCUUUGGAAAGAGUAGUGGUGCUUCUCAGCGUGUUCCUGUGAGCAUGUAUCGCCAAUAUUGAGAUACCUGGCUGGUUUCUCAACAAAAUUAAUACGAACCAGAAGAGUUAAUUCCAAAGGACUUUCAGCUUGAUCAGUCACUAACAGGACACUGAAGUAACUUCAAGAUGUGGUCAUUUGAGGAUUCCAUUGACAAAUAACAAUAAACAGCGGUUCAAAUGAUCCUUCUGUGCCUGGAAAGUAAUUUUGUGGGGUGAAUUGCAAGGUAUAAGUUUCUGGUAGAUCUCAUUUCAAUCUUUGAUGUCCAUAAUCAAUCACUUGAUCACUUAUAUAUUAUAUAUUAUUUUUCUUUUUGAGCUGGGGAAGGAGAAGAGGUUUUGUUUUUGUGUUUGCUGCGGAGGGUUGGGUGUGAGAGUUUGGGCUUUUUGAGCAUGCUGUUCUGGAGAAAAUAGUUACCCUCAGCAGCGUAUUUUUGGCUUGCAUUUUAACAGAGCAUAGCAUGAAAUUGUUCACUAAUUUACAGUAUUUAAAUAUAAUUUACAGUAUUAAACUAAUAUUCUCCAUUAUUUGAAUAAUAAUUAACAUCAUUUGAACACAACUUUUAAUAGUGAAACAUUGUAUUUGACAUUCCAAUAAUGAAAAGUAUUAUUGAAGACAAUUUUUAACGAGCAUUAUACUGCAAUGGAAAAAAAUAAGACAUA
rnacentral:misc_RNA from 1 species